GAGAAGGCGAGCUGACGGAGCAGACCGCGUGGGGGAAGAAGGCUCUUGGGUUGUAAACCCCUUUUCUCUGGGAAGAAAGUUGUGAAAGCAACCUGACGGUACCAGAGGAAUCAGCAUCGGCUAACUCCGUGCCAGCAGCCGCGGUAAGACGGAGGAUGCAAGCGUUAUCCGGAAUGAUUGGGCGUAAAGCGUCCGCAGGUGGCAGUUCAAGUCUGCUGUCAAAGACCGGGGCUUAACUUCGGAAAGGCAGUGGAAACUGAACAGCUAGAGUAUGGUAGGGGCAGAGGGAAUUCCUGGUGUAGCGGUGAAAUGCGUAGAGAUCAGGAAGAACAUCGGUGGCGAAGGCGCUCUGCUGGACCAUAACUGACACUCAGGGACGAAAGCUAGGGGAGCGAAUGGGAUUAGAUACCCCAGUAGUCCUAGCCGUAAACGAUGGAUACUAGGUGUUGUCUGUAUCGACCCGGACAGUGCCGUAGCUAACGCGUUAAGUAUCCCGCCUGGGGAGUACGCACGCAAGUGUGAAACUCAAAGGAAUUGACG
rnacentral:rRNA from 1 species